GUAGCAUAUUUUCUUUAUUUACUCCAUGAAAGCAUUCCAGACGACUUCACAUAACUGAUUCGGUUUAGAUUUGUUUCUAUAUGAAAGCCAUCGAAAGGAUCAACAUUUCCAAUUCGCACUCCUACUUUUUUUCCCCUUUUUUCUCAUGAUCCUCUGCGGACGCCGUCGCCGUUACAAUCCCAUAUCUAAGCAUUCUGCAGUAGAGAGAGACUGAUGGUCAUUUUCGGAGAAGGAUUCAAGAGUUUCACCACUGAGCCAUGAAAUCAAAAGUAACAGCUGAUGUAGUGCGGCGCCAGCAACAGAGCUGGAAACCCAUAUUGAGAUGGGGGAGGGUGGGAGUCCUUUCCUUCUCUUAAAAGCUGUGCUUUUAAAAGUCGUCGCAAUUCACGACUUUAUGAAUGUUUUGGAUGUCGGUUGGAACAAAUCCCUCUGUCUCACAUCAACUCUCCACGCACAUCUUCUUACGCCCCACCCCCUCCCUGGCGCCGAUUGGCUGCGCCUCUCUACUACUGCUGUUGGUCUGGCGGCACGUGCAGCCGUCCCGAACUCCUGAUUGGGCGGCAGUGCAGGCACUCGCAGGCAGCGCAUCAAAUGAUCUCCAAUAGUUAUUUGGCUUGUGCACUUGUGUGAGGAAAAGACAAAUCCUUGAGCACAGGGUCAGGGAUCAGAUAAAAAAAUGAUUUAUCUUAUACAAAAAAGAAAUUCCAAUUGCCUGGGACUGCCUGGGAUUUUAUUUGGUUAGUCGUCAUAUUGUGUUAUUAUUUAGCAAUACACAUAUUGUUGGUUUCGCACUUAAAUAUGUAAUGAGCACAUUGAGUACCCUUAUGCUGAAAUGAUUAUGAAUGCAUUUCGUUGUAUAAUGACAAAAAAGAUUAACCUUGUAGGAUGUAACAAGCACGGGCAUUGUAUAAACAUUACUGUAGGCUGAGUAAACUGAAAAAAUACUAUGACAGAUAAACUCGGUUCAGAAGGGGUUUAGGGUUAAUGGAAAUCACUUUUGAACUAAGAAAUCAUUACAAGUAGAACUAAAAUACUAUUUUAAGCAAAUUGUACUUUGAAAGCUAGUGUAACAAUUGCAAAUGCAGGCUGUUUGACAGUAACUAUUUUACAUCUCUUUAGGUCUUUGAGGGAAUGCAUUUUGUUGCUCCUCUCUGAACUAAUUCAGAGCAGCAAUUUAUUUUCGUGCCUCCUUGUCACCACAGUUGGACAUACUAUUCUGAAAUCUUACUAGAGCAUUGUACAAAUCACUUUCCUCGAUUUGAAUUCUUCACUUUUAAUGUGUUGAAAUAUUCUGUUUUUGCCUUUUCGCUUUGCUUCCCCACUGUGUCUAGAAUAUGAAAAUGAUGUGUCUAAAUCUUUUUCAUAAGUCGCUUCUUCAAGUUUCAUCUUUCCCAUUUUAUACUUAAGAACCUGCAGGCAACAGCCUACAUUUGUCUACAUCUGACAGACGUUGGCCUAGUCAUGAAUAUAGUUUAAGUCUUUUUCAGAUUUGACAGCGUUUGCUAAUCCUUGUAAUUUGGUAUUAUCUUCUAACCAGACACAUUUACUAGCUAUACCAGAACCUAGACCGUUGAUAUCAAAUCAAAAGGGGUUCUAAUACAGUUCUCUGGGGCACACCACUAAUUACAUCACCUCAGAUUGACUAUUUUCCCCUUACCUUUGCUCUCUGCUUCCUAUCUCCUAACCAUUUCAUAAUCCAAGUGAAGAAGUAAUAGGUUUAUUCCAUGCUGAAAAGAGAAGAGAGAAAACUUAAUGUUAUGUUUCUCUCUUCUCUUUUCAGCAUGGAAUAAACCUAUUACUUCUUCCUUUGCAGACUACGUAUGCUGAUGCAGCUACCCAUCUGAACUAUAGAAUCCAAGUGCAUGCAUUACCUUGAAUGUCUACUGUCUGUAUUUUGAGAAUUAAUUGUUUACAAAGAACUUAAUGGAAUUCCUUCUGGAAAACUAAAUAUACCUGUAUAUAUAAUCCAUUAAUCUAGACAUAAUCCACUCUGUACACAUAUCCACUAUGUCUGCUUGUUUAAAUUACUCUUAACUCUUCAGUUAGUUAAAGAAGACCUACAUUGUCUCAAUUAAUUAAAUUUAUACUGUAUACUGAAUCAUAUUCCUAUACAAAUGAUCCUUUUAAUGCCUUGACACCACCAUAAUUCUCUGUUAAAUGUACAUGGUAAAGCUAAAUGCCUUUGUGUCAUCACAGAUAGUGCAAAAAUAUAAAUUUAUGAAGUAGUUUAAUCUAUAGGAAAUAUAACAGUCUGCUUCCACAGACACAAAUUAGGCUUGGGUCUCGAAUAGUUUGUCUAAAUUAACAUAGGUAGUCAAACAUCAGUUCUAAACAUGAUCUGUGAGACAACUGCACCAUAUAAUGUGUGUAUGUAUUUAUUUUAAAAUAGUAAAAAAGAAGAUGAUUAUUAAAGACUACAGAAAAAAAUGUUCUGUAAGCUGGAAGUCAAACUGAAUGAAUAAAAAGAAAUAACUUAAUUUAAAGAGAAUGAGUCAUAGAUGAAGAAAGGAUACACUGGUCACANNNNNNNNNNNNNNNNNNNNNNNNNNNNNNNNNNNNNNNNNNNNNNNNNNNNNNNNNNNNNNNNNNNNNNNNNNNNNNNNNNNNNNNNNNNNNNNNNNNNNNNNNNNNNNNNNNNNNNNNNUUUGUAAUCUUUAUUAAACAUUUUAUUGGUAAAAUGUUUUAAUGUAUUAGUGUAUUUAACACUUGGUUUUACUGGGAACCUAGAUUUAAUGUAUUAAAUACAUAAUAUAGUCAAUAGUUAAUACAGCUCAGAAAGAUAUUUUCUGUUUCUUCACAAAGCAUCUUACCUUAACAUUAAUCUAUUAGCUUUAUUACCUGUAAAGCCUUAUCAUGGUAUAGUAUGUUCAAGCCUGUUUUCUGGCUCAUCACUACAGUUGCAGUGAUAGUUUGUCUGAUGUCUGCUUGUAAAAUGCAUGACUGGAAGGACUUAUUUGUGAACAAAGCCACAUUCCAUAUUCCAAAGCCUUAGAAUGUAGCACUUCUUUACAAAAGUUAAAAAUAAACAGUGCAAAAAUAUAAAAAAAAUCUUUUUGUGACUCUUACAUUAAUAAAGUAGUGAGAAAGAAAGUCCUUUUAAUGUGUUUUUCUUCAAGCAAAAAAAAGCCUUAGUGAGGUUAAGUGUUUUAACUUAACACAAACACAAACCAGAGGAUACCAGGGCAAACUACAGUAUAUGGACAUACUAAAACCAAGAACAGCAGAUGCUUCUUUACACAAAGGCUAGUGGGAGUAUGGAAAAAGCUGCCCAUCCAUGCAGUCAAAUCUGAUACCCUGACAAUCUUUCAAGAAAUGGCUGGAUGAGGUCCUCUGAACAUUUAGAUACAGACAAAAGGUGUAGGUGGGCCAGAUGAGCUCUCAUUUGUGACUGGUCUUAUGUUCUAAGAACUGGUCUUUUCUAAGUGGAAAAAGACUGUGGCUGCUUUAUGCCACAGUGCUCUCAACCUAAUAUUACACUUUUCCUCACUUAUGGUGAUAUUUGUAUCUGCAUUCGUAUACUUUGUUUGGAGUACCUGCUUUAUAAUAAUAAAAUGGCAUGUUUGAAUGUACAAUGACAUGGUUUGCUGGUACAAUCAUAAAUCAUGUUUCAUGUGAUGAAGAACUGGAGCAAAACAAUCCAUAAAACAAUACAUUUUAAAUAUGUGCAGCCACUAUCAAUGUUAUAUUUUUUUCUAAAUGCAAAAAACAAACAGAAAGCAUGAUACAAAUCUGAUAAAAAACUUUUAGAAUUUGUAAUUCAUGUUCUUUGUGUACAUUCAUGUUGUUAAUAGUCCAAUUUUAAUAUUUUUGUACUUUGC
rnacentral:lncRNA from 1 species